AGUGAACGCUGGCGGUAGGCCUAACACAUGCAAGUCGAACGGCAGCACAGUAAGAGCUUGCUCUUACGGGUGGCGAGUGGCGGACGGGUGAGGAAUACAUCGGAAUCUACUUUUUCGUGGGGGAUAACGUGGGGAAACUUACGCUAAUACCGCAUACGACCUACGGGUGAAAGCAGGGGAUCUUCGGACCUUGCGCGAUUGAAUGAGCCGAUGUCGGAUUAGCUAGUUGGCGGGGUAAAGGCCCACCAAGGCGACGAUCCGUAGCUGGUCUGAGAGGAUGAUCAGCCACACUGGGACUGAGACACGGUCCAGACUCCUACGGGAGGCAGCAGUGGGGAAUAUUGGACAAUGGGCGCAAGCCUGAUCCAGCCAUACCGCGUGGGUGAAGAAGGCCUUCGGGUUGUAAAGCCCUUUUGUUGGGAAAGAAAAGCAGCAGGUUAAUACCCCGCUGUUCUGACGGUACCCAAAGAAUAAGCACCGGCUAACUGCGU
rnacentral:rRNA from 1 species